rnacentral:rRNA from 1 species
GAAUUUUUCGCAAUGGGGGCAACCCUGACGAAGCAAUGCCGCGUGAAUGAAGAAGGCCUUCGGGUUGUAAAGUUCUUUCGUGGAGGACGAAAAGGUGGGUGCUAAUAUCGCCUGCUGUUGACGUGAAUCCAAGAAGAAGCACCGGCUAACUCCGUGCCAGCAGCCGCGGUAAUACGGGGGGUGCAAGCGUUAAUCGGAAUCACUGGGCGUAAAGGGUGCGUAGGCGGUGCAUUAGGUCUGUCGUGAAAUCCCCGGGCUCAACCUGGGAAUGGCGGUGGAAACCGGUG